AGUGAACGCUGGCGGUAGGCCUAACACAUGCAAGUCGAACGGCAGCACAGUAAGAGCUUGCUCUUACGGGUGGCGAGUGGCGGACGGGUGAGGAAUACAUCGGAAUCUACUUUUUCGUGGGGGAUAACGUAGGGAAACUUACGCUAAUACCGCAUACGACCUACGGGUGAAAGCAGGGGAUCUUCGGACCUUGCGCGAUUGAAUGAGCCGAUGUCGGAUUAGCUAGUUGGCGGGGUAAAGGCCCACCAAGGCGACGAUCCGUAGCUGGUCUGAGAGGAUGAUCGGCCACACUGGAACUGAGCCACGGUCCAGACUCCUACGGGAGGCAGCAGUGGGAAAUAUUGAACAAUGGGCGCAAGCCUGUUCCAGCCAUACCGCGUGGGUGAAGAAGGCCUUCGGGUUGUAAAGCCCUUUUGUUGGGAAAGAAAAGCAGCAGGUUAAUACCCCGCUGUUCUGACGGUACCCAAAGAAUAGGCACCGGCUAACUUCGU
rnacentral:rRNA from 1 species